GAAAUGCGAUAAGUAGUGUGAAUUGCAGAAUUCAGUGAAUCAUCGAAUCUUUGAACUCACAUUGCGCCCCUCGGUAUUCCGUGGGGCAUGCCUGUUCGAGCGUCAUCUACACCCUCAAGCUCUGCUUGGUGUUGGGCGUCUGUCCCGCCUCCUUCGCGCGCGGACUCGCCCCAAAUCCAUUGGCGGCGGCCCUUGCCUCCCUCUCGCGCAGCACAUUGCGCUUCUCGAGGCGCGGCGGACCGCGUCCAGCAAGCAACCGUCACACCGUCUUUGACCUCGGAUCAGGUAGGGAUACCCGCUGAACUUAAGC
rnacentral:misc_RNA from 1 species